rnacentral:snoRNA from 1 species
UAUAUUAUAUAUAUAUAUAUUAUAUAUAUAUAUAUGCGAUUAUCGGUUUUCUCGCCAAGUUUCUCGGAUUUUUUUUCAACCACGAUGAAUGUUAGUGUGAUUCUCUGAGCGGGAAGCGGCUCUCAUAUGUUGUACGUGGAUGUAGAUGACUCGGUUUACCGAUAUCCAAAUGAGAAUCACACAGGCUGUGUGGC